AGCAGCCGCGGUAAUUCCAGCUCCAAUAGCGUAUAUUAAAGUUGUUGCAGUUAAAAAGCUCGUAGUUGAAUUUCGGAGUUUGUCGGUUGGUCGGGCUUCACUGUCCGCACUGGCCUGAUGGAUUCCUACCUUCUGAAUAACCAGCAUGCUAUUAAGUUAGUGCGUUGGGGAAGCAGAGCUAUUACCUUGAAAAAUUAGAGUGCUUAAAGCAGGCUUAUGCUUGAAUAGAUUAGCAUGGAAUAAUAAAAUAGGACGGCAUGGUUCUAUUUUGUUGGUUUCUAGGAUCACCGUAAUGAUUAAUAGGGAUAGUUGGGGGCAUUAGUAUUCAAUUGUCAGAGGUGAAAUUCUUGGAUUUAUUGAAGACUAACUUCUGCGAAAGCAUUUGCCAAGGAUGUUUUCAUUAAUCAAGAACGAAAGUUAGGGGAUCGAAGACGAUCAGAUACCGUCGUA
rnacentral:rRNA from 1 species